AUCCAGUAAGCAACACGCUUCAACAGCCUCUGCAUCAGCUUCUGCCUCCAGAUCCAGCCCUGCUUGUGCUCCUGUGCAGACUUCUUCAGUGACAGAGUGUGAUGUGGAAGUGUAUCUUAGAAGAUUCCAAGACCAGGAACAUUCUGAGUUGCUGGCAGUUGAGACUUCAUUAUUUUCUGGUGGGCAGACAUGCAGUUCAGUUCAUCCCACGUCUGUCAGGAUGAGCUCUGACAAGGAUGUUGUGGAGUCCUCUCACUUGAGAACUGCUUGGUUUUCAUCAGGAAAUGUGUGGGCUUACAUCAGGUGUCUACAAGGGAUGAAACUUCUCAUCUUCAUAUACUCCCAGCAGAUGACUUCACGCCAUAUGCAGUAGGGGCAUGGACCCAUCUAUCCUCUAGGAAAUAAAGGGAGACUCAGCAAGAAACGCCACUUGUCACUGUGCCAGCUACAGAGUAUCUGCUGCUGUUGGAUCCUCAGCCCUGCACAUGACCAGCUGUUAACAGAGGUAGAAACACUUGGCUGAGAAAAGGAGAUGUGGGGACCCCAGAGAUGUCACCUACAUGUUCUGGAGGGAUGCAAGAGAGCAGACAGGGCACCUUCCUCCUGCUGAAUAAGCCUUGGGCUUUCAUGCAAGAAACAGGAUGUAUAGAGUCUAGGUUCUACGUAUGAGAAAAAACACGCUCCGCCAUUACUCUACUCCUUUAAACCUGUUCCUCCCGGCACAGAGCUUCUGCCUGCUUUCUCUCAUUCAUGUAUGUAUGUAAGUAUGUGGAGGAGCACAGAUCAUGUCCCAGCAGGAGGGAGAGUGGCCCAAGCUGACGACCUGUGCCAUUACAAGAUGGCACUGGGAGGAAGCUUCAAGUGUUUACUAAGAAAAACAAUUGGCUGCCCAAACUCACACUGGAUGAGGUCAUCACACUUGCAGACUGUGCCCAAGAGGGGGUAGGACACUAGAUACAUCACAGGAAUACCUUUAAAAUUAUAGGGUAAUACUUUUCCUGUCCUGAGGUUUUUUACUUUAAAAGGGCUUUGCUUAAACAAUAAACGAGAUCUUGCUUGACUUGACUAGCUGUUGCUCCUGAUUGUCUCCGGUUUUCAGGGAGGCUGCACUCUGCCCUCUCCAACCUUGACCCAGGAGGCUCCCAGAGACCUCCAACAUAUGUAUGCAUAUUGAUCUAGAUUCUGGGACCAGUGUGAUGGCUCAGCAGGUACAGGCACAUGCCUCAAAAGCUGAUGACCUGAUUUCUGUCUCCAGACCCCAGGUGAUGGAAGAAGAAAGUCCUUCUCUGCAAGAUGUCCUCUGACCUGCAUUCGUGCACUCACGAAUAUGUACUUAUGCAUUCAUGUGUACUCCUUGUUCUCAAUAAAUGUAAAAUUAAGACAAUUAAAAUGCACCUA